rnacentral:rRNA from 1 species
GAUGAACGCUGGCGGCGUGCCUAAUACAUGCAAGUCGAGCGAACAGACGAGGAGCUUGCUCCUCUGACGUUAGCGGCGGACGGGUGAGUAACACGUGGAUAACCUACCUAUAAGACUGGGAUAACUUCGGGAAACCGGAGCUAAUACCGGAUAAUAUAUUGAACCGCAUGGUUCAAUAGUGAAAGACGGUUUUGCUGUCACUUAUAGAUGGAUCCGCGCCGCAUUAGCUAGUUGGUAAGGUAACGGCUUACCAAGGCAACGAUGCGUAGCCGACCGGAGAGGGUGAUCGGCCACACUGGAACGGAGACACGGUCCAGACUCCUACGGGAGGCAGCAGUAGGGAAUCUGCCGCAAUGGGCGAAAGCUUGACGGAGCAACGCCGCGUGAGUGAUGAAGGUCUUCGGAUCGUAAAACUCUGUUAUUAGGGAAGAACAAAUGUGUAAGUAACUAUGCACGUCUUGACGGUACCUAAUCAGAAAGCCACGGCUAACUACGUG